AUGCUCCACCACUCCGUACACACCUCGACGCGCGCCGCCUCACCGGAGAAGACCACCGCGCAGCCCACUCGACGCCUCUCCCCCGCGCGAGGGAGGCCCGCCGGAGCGCGCCGAACUCGCCCACCGCCUUUGACGGCCGGGCGCCGCCACCACCGCCGGCGCCGGCGGCAGCGGCGACCAGGGGAGCAGGGGAGGGGGACUCGGGGGGCUAGGGUUUUCGCCUCCAGAGCCGCCCGCGCGAGCGGAUCGGGAGGGAGGGAAAAAAUUGAAAAUGAUCGGAGCUACAAAGGGGGAGAAUAUCACAUGAUACCAACACUUAUAUGCUCCCAUGAUACCAAUUCGAAAAAUUAA
rnacentral:rRNA from 1 species